rnacentral:lncRNA from 1 species
UGUGGAGUGGAGCUCUCUGCGACUUGGUUGUAUUUAGUGAGCUGUGUGUGGUUGUAUCGGAUUUUACUGUACUGUGUAUAUGUGUAUGUAUGUGUGUUGACAGAUUUGCUUGUGUGUGACUGUGUGUACACUUUCGCCCGUGUUUGUCAGUAUAUGUAGGAUUGUGUGAGUUCACAGGUUUGUUUGUGUGUAUGUGUAUGUAUGUGUGUACGUUUUCUUGUGCAUGUGUGUGUCCCUGUGUGUAUGUUUGUGUCUGUGAUGUGCGUUUUUAUUGGUGUGCUUGUGUGUAAGUAUGUGUGUACCUGUUCAUGUGUGAUUGGGUUUUGUGUGAAUCUGGGUGUUUGUAAGAGUUUGUCUGUGUGAGUAUAAGUACACUUUUGUGUAUUUCUGUAUGUGCUUCUGUGUGUGCCUCUGUGUGUGUGUGUGUGUGUGUGUGUGUGUGUGUGUGUGUGUGUGUGUGUGUUCCCAUCCCCUUUUGCCCCUUCUUGUAUCUAUAUUACCUUCACCUCAGUGCAAGCGAGUGUAGAGGCCAGAAGUCAGCCCGGGCUCCUGUUCCUAAGGUAG